AACAUCGCGCACCUGCGGGAACCUGCGGAGGGAUCAUUAUCGAGUUUACAACUCCCAAACCCCUGUGAACAUACCAAUCGUUGCCUCGGCGGGACCGCCCCGGCGCCCCCGGGCCCGGACCCAGGCGCCCGCCGGAGGACCCCCAAACUCACUUGAUUCCACGGUGUAUCUUCUGAGUGACACAAGCAAAUAAAAUCAAAACUUUUAGCAACGGAUCU
rnacentral:misc_RNA from 1 species